AGCCGCGAGCGCACACGGGCACGUCCCAGCAGAGGGAGCGAGCGGGAGCGAUGUGGAUGGCGGUUCAGCGCACAGCAAAGCAGAGUCGAGACACAGCGCAACACCAGACACGGGUGGGAAACGAGUUGGCAGGCCCGGUUCUCCUCUCCCCGCAGCGGAGCGAUACCAGCCUGGCCCGAUUCUCAGUUACCUCCCAGGCGUGAACAGAAGCGAGGUGUUCCCCGACGCCGCGCGGCCGGAGCAACAGCAGCCUCCUCUUCCAAGCAGGAUCUCUCUUAACGUCACCGUCCACUACACCUGGGCGAGGUUCGGUCGCGCAGCUCUCCAGCCAGAUCCUGCCCGUCUGAGCUGCCGGGCAGGGUGCUCACACUUUGCUGGAGCAGCUGGUUCACGAAGGCAAGCCAGGCUGUCCCCUGGUUUCUCUGUAUUUCAAGUCACAAUAUUUAGUUUGCUGUUCAUGGAGAAAAACUGCUGGGUCACAGCCCUGUUUUUAUCUCCGCUUGCUGCAGGUGCGCUAUAAAGGCGACACAGCACAACAAGUGGAGCCUGUCUAUAAAUGCUCAGAUGCUCUCAUCUCA